AUUGAACGCUGGCGGCAGGCCUAACACAUGCAAGUCGAACGGCAGCGGGGGGUAGCUUGCUAUCCUGCCGGCGAGUGGCGGACGGGUGAGUAAUGCAUGGGGAGCUGCCCAGUCGAGGGGGAUAACAACUGGAAACGGUUGCUAAUACCGCAUACGCCCUAAGGGGGAAAGGUGGGGAACUUCGGUCCUACCGCGAUUGGAUGCGCCCAUGUGGGAUUAGCUAGUUGGUGAGGUAACGGCUCACCAAGGCGACGAUCUCUAGCUGGUCGGAGAGGAUGUCCAGCCACACUGGAACUGAGACACGGUCCAGACUCCUACGGGAGGCAGCAGUGGGGAAUAUUGCACAAUGGGGGAAACCCUGAUGCAGCCAUGCCGCGUGUGUGAAGAAGGCCUUCGGGUUGUAAAGCACUUUCAGUCAGGAGGAAGGGGUGAUGGCUAAUAUCCAUCAUCAUUGACGUUACUGACAGAAGAAGCACCGGCUAACUCCGUGCCAGCCGCCGCCGUAA
rnacentral:rRNA from 1 species